AAGCAUUCUAUUGAAAGGCUGGCCUCUUUUCUGUAGUGACACUCACAUAAAGGCUCUCUCCCAGCACACUCCCACUGCUUGGUGGACUGCACAGGAUGUGCCGCAAAAGGGUCUCUCGUGAGGGUUUGGCAUUCGGAGGACCAGGCCAGGGGACUCGGCGAGGCUGGGGCACGUCUUCUGGAUACAGAUCAGGUCGUGAAUAAUGCAGACAGCCAUGUGCGGUCUGCUCUGUGGAUGUGAAUAUGCUCAACUUCAUGGAUGGUGUCCAGAUGUCAUCUGUUAUGAGCACAGCUUCUCAGGGGGCAAAACAGAACUGCUGGAAAGUUACAGGACUUGCUCAGCAUCAUAGGACUGAACUCAAGGUACAGUCGUCGCGUGGAUUCGAGAGAUUCCAGCUUCACGGAACAAAUUAAAGAGCAAAAUCAGAAUCUGAAUGAUGGCAACUCUGAAGUCUGUUCUUACUGCAAUCUCCCACUCCCACAGUUUGUUUAUCUUCAAAUGGAUGUAGAACAGCAACUGUGACUAAGAUAUCUGGAUUCUAGAAAUUAGAGAAGUAGACGGUAAUUGAAUCCACUAAUACCCAAAACUAUCGAUAUAUUAAAACUGGAAAGGCAACAGUACUGGAUAUGGAAAGAGUCGAUCUUUGUACUUGGGUUGGCCUGGGUCUGAAGCAUGAUUCUUCCCAUUACUUGAUGUGUGAUCUUGUCAAGCAAUUACCUUUUCUCCAGUUUGGUUUCUCCACAUGAAA